rnacentral:lncRNA from 1 species
AUUAGAUCGUGUUCCCCUGUGCAUCCGCCCCAGUUCACGGAGCAGUACUGACACACAGGAGUGCGUUCACUGAAGCCCACGCUUUAUUCGGGGUUCUCUAGUCUUUACCUAAAAUCCGUCUCUACCGUGGACCCCAGCCGGGACACCCCAUGGCCCUCAAUCCUCAGUUCUCCUUAGACUCCUCUUGGUGGUGAUGGAUUCUCAGACUUUCCUGUGUUGAAUGACCUCGACCUUGGCUGUUCUGAGGAGGACCGGCAGGAACACUGAAGAAUUGAAGUUUGAUGUUUUUCUCAUAGUGGGUUGAGUGGAGACUGCACCUGUGAUGGAGGUCGAGCGCUUUCAUCCCAUCCCAUCAAGGGUGCAUCGGGUCAACGUAACCGAGCAUGGUUAAACGUGAUCACCUGGCUGAAGCAGUGUCUGCCAGAACCCGGGAUCCUUGUAUGGAAGACUGGGAUUAGUAACCACAAUCUGGUGCUGGGUGUCAAGACUCUCCUACAUUGACGCUUGCUUCC